rnacentral:pre_miRNA from 1 species
GCAUUUGGGCCUCAUCCAAAGCCCACUGAAGUCAAUGGAAAGAUGGCCGUUGACUUCAAAAGGCUUUGGAUCAGGCCCUUAUAGA